GAUGAACGCUAGCGGGAGGCCUAAUACAUGCAAGUCGAACGGUAACAGGGGUAGCAAUACCCGCUGACGAGUGGCGCACGGGUGCGUAACACGUACACAAUCUACCUUAUACUGGAGCAUAACCUUGGGAAACUGAGGCUAAUUCUCCAUAACAUAUUGAAGAGGCAUCUCUUUAAUAUUAAAACUCAGGUGGUAUAAGAUGAGUGUGCGUCUGAUUAGCUAGUUGGUGGGGUAAUGGCUCACCAAGGCAACGAUCAGUAGCUGGUCUGAGAGGAUGAUCAGCCACACGGGCACUGAGACACGGGCCCGACUCCUACGGGAGGCAGCAAUAGGGAAUAUUGGACAAUGGGCGCAAGCCUGAUCCAGCCAUCCCGCGUGAGGAUUAAGGCCUCUGGGUUGUAAACUUCUUUCUUUGGGAAUAAAACUCGUUUCUACGGAGCUUGAAGGUACCAGAGGAAUAAGCACCGGCUAACUCCGUGCCAGCAGCCGG
rnacentral:rRNA from 1 species